rnacentral:lncRNA from 1 species
AGGAUAAUUAAGGAUCUCCACUGAUGGACACAAGGCAAGGACGUAUGCUGAGGAUUGAAAAGAUCUUUGAGGAAUCAAUCAGAAGAUCCGAAACAAAAGCAAGGAAAAGAAAAUCAAUCAAAUCACCAACUUCCCAGAUUUAUGGCAAACGGAUCAAAGGCAGAAGGAAAGAACAUCACACCAAGAUUGAAGUAGCAUUCAUCACGAACCGUUGACUUUCCAGAUUUAUAGCAAACAAAUUAAUCAAGAUUAUUACAAAGGAA